ACAAGAUCAAAUUGAAAAAAUUCAAGAUUUCAGUCUUCUGAACUUGAACUGCAUACUAAAGAUACUACAUUGAAGAGAAUUAUUUUUUGCAUUCAAAAACAUCUUCCUGAGGAACAUAGAGAUGCACUGAUUGUGGAGGAAUAUAUUCAGGACAAUUCCAAAUUGUUUCAUCUUCCUGAACUUUGGAAUCUUCAUAUAAGUACUUU